GGAGAGUUGGCAGAGCGGUCGAAUGCGGCGGUCUUGAAAACCGUUGACCCUUUACAGGGUCCCGGGGUUCGAAUCCCUGACUCUCCGCCA
rnacentral:tRNA from 1 species